GCUGUCGUCAGCUCGUGUUGUGAAAUGUUGGGUUAAGUCCCGCAACGAGCGCAACCCUUAUCCUUUGUUGCCAGCGGUCCGGCCGGGAACUCAAAGGAGACUGCCAGUGAUAAACUGGAGGAAGGUGGGGAUGACGUCAAGUCAUCAUGGCCCUUACGACCAGGGCUACACACGUGCUACAAUGGCGCAUACAAAGAGAAGCGACCUCGCGAGAGCAAGCGGACCUCAUAAAGUGCGUCGUAGUCCGGAUUGGAGUCUGCAACUCGACUCCAUGAAGUCGGAAUCGCUAGUAAUCGUGGAUCAGAAUGCCACGGUGAAUACGUUCCCGGGCCUUGUACACACCGCCCGUCACACCAUGGGAGUGGGUUGCAAAAGAAGUAGGUAGCUUAACCUUCGGGAGGGCGCUUACCACUUUGUGAUUCAUGACUGGGGUGAAGUCGUAACAAGGUAACCGUAGGGGAACCUGCGGUUGGA
rnacentral:rRNA from 3 species